rnacentral:rRNA from 1 species
AGAGUUUGAUCCUGGCUCAGAACGAACGCUGGCGGCGCGUUUUAAGCAUGCAAGUCGAACGGUAGAGUUCCUUCGGGAACUUGAGAGUGGCGAACGGGUGAGUAACACGUAGAUGAUCUGCCUUGAAGUUGGGGAUAGCCCAUAGAAAUAUGGGGUAAUACCGGAUAAUACCUUAGAACUCUGGUUUUUUGGUGAAAGGGGCUUCGGCCUCGCUUUAAGAUGAGUCUGCGGCUUAUUAGCUAGUUGGUAGGGUAAAAGCCUAUAGCCGGCCUGAGAGGGUGACCGGCCACAUUGGGACUGAGACACGGCCCAGACUCCUACGGGAGGCAGCAGCUAAGAAUCUUCCGCAAUGGGCGAAAGCCUGACGGAGCGACGCCGCGUGGGUGAAGAAGGCGGAGACGUUGUAAAGCCCUUUUCUCACAGAAGAAUAAGUUUCAGAGGUAAUGCUGGAGCGAUGACGUUAUGUGAGGAAUAAGCACCGGCCAAUUACGUGCCAGCAGCCGCGGUAACACGUAAGGUGCGAGCGUUGUUCGGAAUUAUUGGGCGUAAAGGGCUCGUAGGCGGCCUACCAAGUCUCACGUGAAAGACCAGGGCUCAACCCUGGGAACGCGAGAGAAACUGGUAAGCUGGAAUCUUGGAGGGGGUACUGGAAUUCCUGGUGUAGGGGUGAAAUCUGUUGAUAUCAGGAAGAACACCGGAGGCGAAGGCGAGUACCUGGCCAAAGAUUGACGCUGAUGAGCGAAAGCGUAGGGAGCGAACAGGAUUAGAUACCCUGGUAGUCUACGCCGUAAACGAUGUGCACUUGGUGGCGGUCCCGUCCGGGAUCGCUGCCGGAGCUAACGCAUUAAGUGCACCGCCUGGGGAGUACGCCGGCAACGGUUAAACUCAAAGGAAUUGACGGGGGCCCGCACAAGCGGUGGAGCAUGUGGUUUAAUUCGAUGAUACGCGAGAAACCUUACCAGGGCUUGAC